rnacentral:rRNA from 1 species
GACGAACGCUGGCGGCGUGCUUAACACAUGCAAGUCGAACGGAAAGGCCCUGCGUUUGUGGUGUGCUCGAGUGGCGAACGGGGGAGUAACACGUGAGUAACCUGCCCUUGACUUUGGGAUAACUUCAGGAAACUGGGGCUAAUACCGGAUAGGAGCUCCUGCUGCAUGGUGGGGGUUGGAAAGUUUCGGCGGUUGGGGAUGGACUCGCGGCUUAUCAGCUUGUUGGUUGGGUAGUGGCUUACCAAGGCUGUGACGGGUAGCCGGCCUGAGAGGGUGACCGGCCACAAUAGGACUGAGAGACGGACCAGACUCCUACGGGAGGCAGCAGUGGGGAAUAUUGCACAAUGGGCCGAAGCCUGAUGCAGCAACGCCGCGUGCGGGAUGACGGCCUUCGGGUUGUGAACCGCUGUCGCCUGUGACGAAGCGUGAGUGACGGUAAUGGGUAAAGAAGCACCGGCUAACUACGUG